rnacentral:lncRNA from 1 species
GAGGAGGAGGUGCUGGGGCUCGUACCCCGUGCUUUGAAGGAGGAGGUGGUGGUGGUGGUGCGGCUCUAUAUGAUGAAACAGGUGGAGGUGGUGGGGGUUUAGGCAUAGGUGGAGGAGGUGGUGAGGAUCCCUGCAGUGGAGGAGGGGUUGGUGGUGGGGGCAGAACUUGAGUACAGGGUGGUGGUGGACGUAGACGUGGAGCUCGAGAAAAAGGAAGUGGGGGUGG